ensembl:lncRNA
AUUUUAUAUUCUCUGAGGAAUGGUAGAAUUUCAAGACUCACUGGCUAUACCUCUUUUUGGAGAUCUCCAGCAGAAAUUUCUCUUCUAAAAUCUACUCCAUAAAAUGCUCAGCUGUAUCAAAAUAAUAGAUGAGACCAUAUCAAGCUCUAUUUUGUGGUCAAGAUGUGCACACCUACAAUACUCAUGACAUGCAAACAUUUUAGUCUUUCCUGUCAGAAUGAAGUAAUUUGAAAAACAUGAGCUAAUUUAGCUGGGCUUUCGACAGCUGUGGAUGAGAACUAAUUUCUGGUCAGGAUUUGAAAUCAUGCCAGCAGGAGCUUACUCUUAAACAGAUGCUCCGGAAUUCUAUUUGGAAGGUCACAUAUCUCAUGUCAUCAUUUGAUGGGUACCUGGUCAGAAGUCUCUUCCCUUCCUGCUACAGCUGACCCUGUGAAACAGCAAACGUGUUUUCUGAUCUGGUGUGCUCUAUGAAUCAUUUCUCUAAAAGGUUAUUUACAGAAAAGUCAGGGUCCAUUUUCUUAACUCUAAAAACAUGGAGGUUAAACCAAAUCCUGUUUGUUAAAAAUCCUACAACUCUCAGUGUUGUACAAUUCUGAUUUUUUAAAAUAACUUCAAAAUUUAAAAAUAAUUUUACAAAUAAAAAAAUAAAAAGCCCCAAACCUACAAGGGAUUCUUCUUUAUCAAUCCUUUGGUUUUGAAAAAAUAUAUAUAUAUAAAAAUUUAGAGAUUGUAUUUUUCCCUAGUGAGCAUAAAAAUGAGACAGCCCAGAAAUAUAUAGGCAGAAGAAUGGAACACACCUUGUCUAGAUUCUUUUUGUGUCUCUUAAGACUCCAUGAACACCAGGUUUCAUUGCAAGGUUUUCCCUCAGGAAACAUCAAGGUUUAUGCCAGAGACUUCUAUCCCCCAAGAGUUUCAGCCGUACCUGUCUUCAAGCAAGGUUGGUUUGACAUGGUAUCCAUUGCCUGAGCAAGGAAGGAAGGUCUACUUAGGCACCAACAUGUUUGGAGCUAAGAAUGUUUCCACUUUGGAGUAAAUAGUUUCCACUGGACAUCACUUCUCUUGCAGUCAAAAAAACAAACCACAUCCAAAAAUAUCCUAAAAACCAAAAUAAAUCCACCUUCAAUCUGCA